GCAUUGGUGGUUUAAUAGUAGAAUUCUCACCUUCCAUGUGGGAGACCAGAGUUUGAUUUCCAGUCAGUGCA
rnacentral:tRNA from 1 species